ACAAUCUUAAUUUUGAAACAGGAACAAUAUCUGAGAGUGUAAAAUUUUAAAUGGCGUGCUAUGUAUAUAAAAUUUUAAUUUGGUAUUACAAUUACAAUCAAUUAAAAAUAUUAAAAUAAUAAAUUUUAAAUUAAAACGUAUGAAUUAAAAUACUAAACUUCUUGUCUAAUUCCCCAUACUUACUUGGUCCACAUAUGAGCAUCAGCAACGCAAGAACAAGGUCUGAUCUAGGCUUGCACGUGGUUGAGGUGUCCAUGCCCAGUUUAGAAAGUACGGUUAAAGGUCUGAUAAAAGAAAAAAAAAAAAAAAAAAGAAAAAAGAAAGUAAAGGCAGAGAGAGAGAAAAAGAAAAGUAAAAAUAAAGAAAAGACCCAACAUAGGGUUGGAACAUAGAAUCUAAAAAUAACCCAAAAGUAGGAUAAUACUUGUAUACAUAUAUACAUUUUUAACCCAGUUUAGUAAGGGAAGGAGAAAAGGGAUUGAGUGAAAAAAUCCACCGGAGUUGAAAGCUCAAAGAUCCCUGAGUUACAAAAUAAAAUGACUAGUUCACCUUCAGGGUUCAAGUGGCUUUUGGUGGAAAGGUCAGCGGCUCAUACAGACAAAAGGAAAGGGAAAAUAAAUAAAUAAAUAAAUAAAUAAACAAGAUAAAUAGUAAAAUAUGGUUGCCAACAAGUAAUUAUAUAUCAUACAUGCAUGUUAUAUUUUUUAUAAUAAAUUAAUGCACAAUUUCAUCUCAGUAUUUAUUGUAAAAUCAAUUCAGUUUAAAACAACUUUUUAUUUAAUUAAUCUAAAAUUUUCAAUUUAAGCUUAAUUUAUAAAAAAAUUUAAAAAAAUAAAGAAAAUAAGCUUUUUAACUUUCAAGCUAAAAUAAGAAAUUUAAAUAAAUAUUAUAAAAUUUAGCUUCUUUAUUUUUUUUUUCUAAAUCAAUAAAUUUAACUAAAAAUUUUUAGUUUUCAAUUAAAUUGAAACUUCUGCAUUAGACAAAAUAUUGAAAAUAGUUUAUUGACCAUCCCAAUAAAUAUGGAAGUAAAAUUGAAAAUUUAACCCCUUUCUAUUAGUAUUGAAAAUCUUUAAAGAUGAAUGAAAUUGCCAAGACUUGAAUACGUAAUUUCGUGAUAAGAAAAUACCGAUUAUAACUAUUCAUAUAAAAAGAAGAUAAAAUUCUAGAUAGAGAACGUCCAGACUUAAACGUUGAAUUACUUCGAUUAUAAGAAAAUUAUAUUAUUAAAUUAUUCACGCAAUUUUUUUUAAAAAAAAAAAAAUCUACUAAAAAAAGAGAUUGCUAAGAUUUCAACCAUGGUGUUCUAUAUUAUAUUAUACACAGAAUAAGAUAUAAAUAGUAUUGUGGCCAAUUUGCAUACCCAUGAAUUCAAUUUUAAUGCAAUAGAAAAUUCAUGGGACCACGCACAAAGUAGAGUAGCAUUAAUACAUAUUUUUCUUAAUAGGAAAUAAGAAGCACAUAGAAAGAUAGAGAGAUAGAGAGAGGGGAAGUGUGGGGGAUAUAUUCAAGUGGAAUGCCCACAAAUUGGUGGUGUACACAUCACACUGGUUCAUCUUUCUGGUGACUCUUUCCAUCUUCUCUACUCCACUAUUAGGACCCAUAAGAGUGGCAUUAUAGCAUUUGUUCCCUUAUAAAAAUGUUUUGUUUUUCUUAGCUUUGGAGCAUGCUGGAUUCACUACUAACAUCACCACCACAAGUUUAAUGUUUGUUAGUAUUAUUAAUACAGGCACAUGAUGCCAUUUUCCACUUUAUAUAUCUUUCUUUUCAUUUUUUGUCCCUAGUGCUACAAUAUGUAGCCUACAUAACCAUCUCCAAAUUGUCAGUGGAUUUAUAUACCAAUGAAUUCCUAUCGUCCAUCUUUUAAUUUGUCUUUGUAUCAAUCAGCCUGAAACUGAAAGCAGCACAGGACUUCUAUAUAGAUUUUAUGCUUCAACAAGCAAUCUUAAAUAGAUUCAUAAGAAUAUAAAAACAUAUAAGAUUAUAAGCAUAAAAAUAUUAGCUAGAAACCUUAACAAAAAAAAAAAAAAGCUAGAAUAAUCACCAUAUGAAUACAUGAAAUCUUAGGUUAGAAUGCUAUAUGAGGGUAGAAAGAACGAAAAUUAAUGCAAAUUAGGCUAUAUGUGCGUGUGUGUAUAUAUACAUAUAUGAUUUCAUAAAGUGAUCAACCGAUACUGCUGGCUUGACAAUACCUUUAUAAUCGGUUCAAUUAAAGAAAUUGCUUCAGAGAUCAUAAAUGAAAGCAUAUCUACUUAGGCAGCUUCAUAUAAAGAAAAGAUAUAGAAGCUAGAAUAGUUUAAGCAUACCAAGACAGCUAAGGGGUAUUGCAAAGAUCAUCUUGUGGUAGCUGUCUUAAGUAGGAAGCUUGUACACUGUUAGAAUAAUUUUUUAUUCCAAAGUUCAAGUCGUUUCUCUUACUAAAAAAAAAUGGAAAAAAAAAAUCCGAUUCCACCUUCAUAUUUCUGAGAGUGACUCCUUAAUAGUUUCUCCUUAUUCUCAGCUUUGCAAGUUUUGUCCUCUUCCUUCUUUUUUGUUGCCUUUUACUUGCAUUCUAUAUCCAUGGCCAUUACUAAAGUCAAUGUACCAUCAUUUCUUUCAAGUGAGUAUAAGGAGAAGCAUAUCUAGUAGCUUCUUUCAAUUUAUUCCUUUUUAUCCAAUUAAGUAAUUUAGCUAGCCUUUUAUUUUGAAAUUCUCACAAUUUAAUUAAUGAGACAAAAGUGGAAACUUUGGAUAUGAUCUUAAUUAAAAAUAACAGAAUAACAGAGCUCUAUUAUAUGAACAACUGAAGCAAGUGCGUGCACAGAAACAAGCAUCUUUUAUUGUUAAGAUAAAAUUGUCAGAAGAAGGACCAAUUAAUUACUAUCUUUGUGGAUUAAAAUAAUUCAUUUUAAUAUACUAACAUAUAUUAGAGGGUGAUAUUAUAACAAGGGAGGCUGAUUAUGAAAGUUACAUCUACAGAUCGAUCUCUUACUUUGGUUAUUUGCUUAUAGUGGGUGACAUCAAAAAGCAUUUAGUAUCUUAUCACUAGAUGAGCAUGCGUGCACCACGUGUAUGGUGAAGAUGCAGAAGGGUGUAUUUUAUAGCAAAAGAUUAUAAAAAAGUUGCUCAAUAAUGGAUACUUACUGAUAUAAAUACGAUUAGAACCUACAUGUCCAAGCACAACAAAAGUUGGGAACAAAAGUUGGGAUCAAACCAUCUUUCUAAGAAAUCUGGGAAGAGAGGAAGGAGAAAAAAAAAAUGAAAAUGGUGCAAAAUGAAAUCAGAAAGGGUCCAUGGACUGAACAGGAAGACAUUCUCCUGAUCAACUUUGUGCACCUGUUUGGAGAUCGACGAUGGGAUUCUAUUGCUAAAGUUUCAGGUUUGAAGGUGGCGGGAGGCAAAUAAUAGGUAUGCUUGUCUUGGGAUGGGUGGUUUUGUAAAGGAGCUACCUUUAACCACCUGGUUUUGUUGUAGGGUUGAACAGAACUGGGAAGAGUUGCCGGCUGCGAUGGGUUAAUUAUCUGCACCCUGGACUCAAAAGGGGGAAGAUGACACCCCAAGAAGAGAAACUUGUGUUGGAACUUCAUGCCAAAUGGGGGAAUAGGUUUGAUAAAUUAUCAUUAAGUCUAGCAGUUUAUAACUCUUCCCCAUAUUUAUUGUAUAUAUCCUACAUAAUAACAAAUUCUUCUUCCUCUUAAUAUUUUUCUGAUUGCAAUUUACAUUCACAUAGCAUCUAAUGACCCACAAUCAUGAUAAACCAUUUCGCAACUUAAAUUUUCCUAGCAAUCUUUUAGUUUUUCUUUUCUGGAAAAGUUCCUUAAUAUAUGGCAUAUUAUCAUGUGCCAGAUGGUCCAGAAUUGCUCGGAAAUUACCAGGGCGAACGGAUAAUGAGAUCAAGAACUACUGGAGGACUCACAUGAGGAAGAAGGCUCAAGAAAGGAAGAGGACUAUGUCUCCAUCAUUGUCAUCUUUCAACAGUUCCUCAACAUCAAAUAUUACAACACAGAAUUCAUCACCUUUCCCUGAGACUGCAGAAGCAAGUUUUUAUGAUACAGGAGGGCCUGAAUCAUCAUCUUCAGGAGGACAAAUCAGUGAGGCAGAACAAGAAGGUGAAAAAGGGUACUCUAUGGAUGAUAUAUGGAAAGAUAUUGAAAACAGUAUUGAACCGGCUUAUGAUGGGUUUAGUGAAGAAGGGUGCAAUUUCUCUUCUUUUUCAAUUGCAUCUCCUUCAUGGGAGUAUUGCUCAGACACACUGUGGAGGAUGGAUGAAGAGGAGAGUAAGAUGUUUCUCCCUUACGAGUGUGGGACAGUGUUUUUAACAGGCUAACCAGAAAUUCUUUAUUUAUAUUUCUUCAUAGAAGUGAUAUUUCUCUGAGGAAGCUCUAACCUGUACAGCAUGGGUUUUCUCUUAAGCUUUCUGCCAUGUUAUGCAUAACCUAUGUCCCUGUGUUUGCGUGCUUUCAAAUUUCAGAGAGGAAGAGAGAGCCUUAACAAAUCUCCUCUAAGGAGAUCGUUAUGUUCAAAUGAUGUAUGAUAGAACCUUUAAGUUUCACUGUUGAAUGAAGCUGAUGCAACAUUAAAAUCCAAAAUCAUUUGAUCAAACACACACAUACGCGCACACAACGAGUAUAUAAAGCCAUGGAAGACAACCACAGAAUAUAGUUAGCAUUUAAAUUUGUUCAAACAACAUUUUAACGUAUACAAGCUCUUUUGUGAUCAGACUCGUUGGAAACCAAACCUAAUGCAUCGAUUUCCAACUAGUUAAUAUUUCACCCAAAAUCAGUAGAAUCCUACAUAACUUUGCCAAACCAUAUAAUAAUCCAGAAGUAAACUUGAACCAUACUGCCUAGAAAAUAUGACUUAUAUUUUCCAUUCUUUCUUAUGAUUUGCACAUUGGAGAAGUUUCUCUGACCCAAUAUUUUUCUGUUUUGCAGAAAAACCAUCAGAAUCCCCAUAAGUUAUGCCUUCUUAGAAGUGAGUUUUGUGAAUACAACUCCAGCUUUAACUUCGAAUAAAAUAUGUCAUUAGAUAUAGCAUGAUAUUUUGGAAAUAAAGUAGAUGGAUUAAUAGUAGUGCGUUAAUCAGGACAGAUCCGUUUGUCAAGUUCAGACUUCAGAAUAAUUAAGCACAAGGUCUGCUGUGAAUCAAAUAGAAAGAGAUUCCACUUUGUUAGGGAAUAAUUUAAACAAUGAAAAAUUACCACUUAGUCUCUAUAGUAUGAGAAAAUUCACUAGUUAGUCCCUCAUAUUUGAAAAAAACAUUAAAAUGUCUCUGACGUUUUAAAAAGUUUAUUAGUUUUGCCGUUAAAUAUUUUACUAUUUAAUUUCUGUGGUUUUGAAAAACUUAUUAGUUAGUCUCUCAGAUUUUUAAAAAGUUUACUAUGGGUAUUCUAGACUUUUUUACAAUACUUAACGGCUAAAACUAAUAGAGAGACUAAUUAAUAAACUUUUUAAAACGUCAGAGACGUUUUAAUGCAUUUUUAAAAAUCAAGGGACCAACUAGUGAGUUUCUUCGUACCAUAAGGACUAAGUAGUAAUUUUUUUUAUAAAUAAUAUAUUUUCUUUGUUAUCUCCACAAAUAGGAUAAUAGCUUAGUGGUUUGCCCCCAAAAUCCAUUAGAUCUAUUCAAGAAGUUAUUUAUUGAUACCUGUUGAGCAUUUGCAUUCUUUUUCCCAAUGAAAAAAGUCAUGCAUGGAAAAAGAAGGAAAAAAAAAAGAAGAAAAGUAAGGAAAAUGAAUUAAUGCUUCCAUUUCAUCAAGUAUGAUUUUGACAUGCAACUUGCACUAAAAAUGGUCCCUUAAAAUCACUAAUGUCAAGACGGCACUAGUAGGACCAUCCAAUCCUUGAGGAAGAAGAGAAGACAAAGAACCUAAGGGCUAAGCAUUGCACUUCUCAAUAUUUUAAUAAUUUAUCUCAAAUUCUAUCAUGUCCCGUGGCCCAUGGCCAUUAUCAAAUGCAAAUAUGGCCCAAAAAAACCAUUAGGUACAGUGGAUAUUGGUGAUUUGUUAAUUACGGCCGUUAAAUUUGGAUCAAACCUAAUCCACCCUAGUCCAAAGGGGAGGAUUGCCCAGUACAAAUGGCACGUUUGAUAGAUUUUGAUAAAUAGAAAAUAGGAGAAUAGAUGAAAGAUAAAAAAAAUGCAAAAUUUGCUAGAUAGUCUCCAAAACUUUCAUUGACAGAAAUGAUAUAUACAUAGGAAACUUCAUGAAAAAAUAUAACAUUAAUGAUAAACACAAAAAAUGAAGGACAUACUUAGAAAAUGAAAAUAACUUUUGAUAUCUAAUAAACAUUAAAUACUCAAACCUUCUAGAAGAAGUAAUGGAGAAAAAUCUUAAUUUUAAUACUCUUUCUUAAGAUUUUUCACAACACCCAUUUGCAACUUUAACGCUUCAAAUUUCCCUUUAAGCAAACUUUUAGUCAAAAUAUCUGCAACUUGAUUUUUAGACUUGCUAUGUUUGAGUUAUACCUCUCCAUGAGCUUCCACUUCCCUUAGAGUAUGAUAUUUGACUUUGACGUGCUUUGUUCUACUAUAAAACACUGGAUUUUUAGCCAUUGAAAUUGCAGAUUUAUUGUCCACACAAAUUGUUGUAGCUUCGUCUUGAAUCAGCUUUCUAAGUCAAAUAGCUUGAUUUGUAGCACUUGUAGCAAAAAUUACACUCUACUUUUGCUGAAGAUUGUGCAACUGCAUCUUUCUUCUUUGAACUCCAUUAGAAAACACCCAAACCAAGUGAGAAUACAUACCCGAAAGUGCUUUUGGAAUCAUCAACACUACCAGGUACCAGCCCAAUCAUUAUCUAAAUAUUCUUCUACCUUCAUAGGAAUUCCAGCUUCAAACCAUAUACCAUGAUCAAUGGUUCCCUUUAUAUAUCGGAGAACUCGGUCCCAUGUGUGUUUCUCCUAGAUUUUUCAUAAAUCUUGAAAGCAGACUAGCCGAAAACAAUAAAUCAAGCUUUGAGAUGGUCAAAUACAAAAAACUCCCAAUUAAAGCUUCUAUAUGUUGAAGAAUCAAUCCUUGCACCUUUAUCUUCUUUGGACAAUUUCUCAUUAGCCAUCAAGGAAGUUGAUAUAACCUUGCACCCUUCUAUUUUAAAUUUCUUGAGAAGAUCUUUAGCAUACUUUUAUUGAGAUAUGAAAAUACCAUUAGAGCUUUGGUGAAUUUCCAUACCAAUAAAGUAUUUCAUCUCACCCAAGUCUUUCAUCUCAAAGAGCCUUUCCAGUUCAGUAUUGAACUUCUUCAUUUGAUCACCAUCAUCACUUAUUAUCAACAAAUCAUCAACAUAGAGGGAAACAAUUAAUUUUUCCCCAUUAUCACCACUUCUAGUAUAUAGAGUAGCUUUAUUAGGACUCCUGAAUCCACAAUCAAUCAUAUAAGAAUCUAUUUUGCUGUACCAAGCUCUAGAAGCUCACUUUAGCCCAUAUAAAGCUUUGUGAAAGUUGUACACCAUUUCUUCUUCGCCUUUGAUAGAAUAGUCAGGAGGUUGUUCAACAUAAAUUUCUUCUUGCAAAUCACCAUUUAAAAAUGCAAUUUUACAUCAAGGUGAUAAAUUUUCCACUUGCAUUGAGCCGCUAAUGCUACUAGCAACUGAACUGUAUCAUGCCUUGCCACUAGAGCAAAAUGUCACCAUAAUCCACACAGGGCUGUUGUGUAUAGCCCUUUACAACCAAUCUAGCUUUGAAUUUGUUUAAAGAGCUAUCAGGAUUCAACUUAGCUCGAUAAACCCAUUUGAGGCCAAUUACAUUUCUCCCAAUUAGGUCUCAGAACUAGAUCCCAAGUUCCAUUCUUCUCUAUCAUCUUUAAUUCUUCAUACAUAGUGUUGAAUCCCACAUCGGUUGUGGAAAGGGGUAAUGUGCCCCUUAUAUGGGUCAUAGGCAAUCCUCCCCCCUUGAACUAGCUUUUAGGGUGAGUUACGCUUGACCCAAAUUUAACAUGGUAUCAAAGCCUCCCCAUCCGAUGUUGGGCCUCCCAUAAAUGUGUCACGCACCAGUAAAAAUUAUGGACGUGAGGGGGUGUGUUAAAUCCCACAUCGGUUGUGGAAAGGGGUAAUAUGCCCCUUAUAUGGGUCAUAGGCAAUCCUCCCCCUUAAGCUAGCUUUUAGGGUGAGUUAGGCCUGGUCCAAAUUUAACACAUAGCAUUGACCCAUCCUUCCUCCUUUGCUGCUUCUUCAUAGUCGACUCUACAACCUCAAAAUUGCAUCUCUCAUAAAUUUCAGCAAGAGAUUUUGUCUUUGGAUUCAAUGGCUCAUCACCGUUUGAACUUGAAUUAUUUUUGCUUGAACUAGGAGAAUAAUCACUAGCUUCCUCAUCAUCAUUGGCUUUUACAUCAUUGCAAGCUACCACAUAAAUAGGCUUGACUUCAUUUGAGCUAAAACAUUUUUCAACUUGUUUCUCCCAAUUCCAAAAAGAAUUUUCAUCCACAAUCGCAUCUCGACUGAUAACAAUCUUUUCCUCCUUGAUGUUGUAAAUUUGAUAGCCUUUGGAUUGGGUAGAGUAACCCAAAAAGAUGUCAAUUUCAAAAUUAGGUUCCAACAUGCUUCUUUUGAUAGAUGGAACAUGAACAUAGCAACACGAGCCAAAAAUUUUCAUGCGAGCAACUGAAGGCUUGACACCAUUCCAAGCUUCAAUUGGAGUUGCUCCUUUAAGAGGAGCAAUUGAUUGUCGAUUUAGCAAAUAAACUAAUGUAUGAAUAGCUUCAACCCAAAAUGAAUUAGGAAGCUUCUUUUCAGUUAGCAUGCAUCUCAUCAUAUGCAUAACACUUUUGUUCUUCCUUUCAACGACACCAUUUUGCUCAGGAAUGUAAGCAACUAAAAGUUGACGAUAAAUUCCUUCAUCAUCACAAAACUUCUUGAACUCCAUUAAGUUAUACUCCAUUCCAUUAUCUGAACGCAAUGCUUUAGUUUGUAUCUAGACAUUGUUUCAGCCAUCUUUUUAAACCUUUUGAAUACAUUGAAUACCUAUGAUUUAUGACUUAUAAAAUAAAUCCAAGUCAUUCUGGUUAGAUUAUCAAUAAAUAAUACAAAAUAUUUAUUUUUGUUUAGGGAUUCAUCCUUCAUAGGGCCACUUCAAUGUGAACGAGUUCCAAUUUCUCCUUAGCUCUCUAUGAAGAUGCACUAGGAAAAGACAUCCGAUGUUGCUUUCUGAUUUGACAAUAAGAACACACAAUAUCAUGUUAUGUUAUAUUAGGCAAUCCCCUUACUAUGCCUUAUUUAUAUAUAAAAGAAAGAGAUCUAUAAUUGCACUGUCCAAACCUCCUAUGCCAUGUUUCAGAUUCAUCAACUUUACAAAGCUUAACGACUCCUUCAUAUCACUCCAACUUAACGGAAAAAUUCUAUCAACCAUAGAUAAUCUAGCAAUCAAUUUAUUUUUUCCAUCAUAGACACAACAAUCAACACACUCAUUCAAAAGCAUUUGAGCUACACUAAGCAAGUUUUGUGCUAAACUUGGAAUAAAUAGCACAUUAUGAAUGAGUUUUGCACCUUGCUUAGUUUGAAUAGCAAUAGUACCUUUUCCUUGAGUUUCGACAACAGCUCUAUUACCCAACUUCACCUUUGUCUUGCAUGUCUUGUCAAGCUUAGUGAAAAUACUUUCAUUCUUUGUCAUAUGACUUGUACAACCACUAUCAAUGAACCAUACAUGCUUGCUUGCCAUUACAGAAUUUUGAGCAACCAUAAACAAUCUUCCCAAUCUUUCCUCUUCGAUGUAAUUAGCUUGUUGCGCAUCCUCUCCUUGAGCUUGGCUUUGUUUCUGCCUGCAACUUCUCUCAAUGUGGCCAAAUUUAUUACAAAAAUGGCAUUGAAUUGGAGUUUUACCUUUGAUCCAACAAUCCUUUUCAAGAUGAUUGGUUCUAAAGUAAAACUUACAUAAAAGAAACUUCCCAUUUCUAUCUAAAUUUGGAGUCGUUCCUAUGACUUUGCCUUUAUCACCCUUGUCAUUGCUUCCCUUCUUCCUUUCUUUCUUGCCUUGCUUCCAUUUGUGCCUUGCUUGAAAAGCACCUUUAGAGACAUCUCCUUUUUUGAACUUGCAGCUUGCUCAGAAACACUCAUAGUUUUAAGGUCACAAAAUUCUUCAAUUGCAGAAAUCUUGAAUUCAAACCUCGUAGGAAGACUUAUCAAUAUCUCACAUUCUCAUCCGAAAAAUCUUCUCUAAGCAAUUUCAUUUUAUUAACAACAUCAAGAAGCUUAGAGGAGAAAUCCUUUACACUUUCCCCUUCAUUCAUUUUUAAAACCUCAAAUUAACUUUUUAAAUUCAAAACUUUGACAGACUUCACCCUAGCAUUUCCUUCAAAUUCUUCUUUUCAUUUAUCCCAUACCUCUUUGGAGAUUCACAAGUCAUGAUUCCUAUAAAUAUCACAUCAGACAAAGCCGAAUGGAGAGAAGCAAGAGCUUUCGGUUUCUUUGCCUUGUUCUCUUCGAAUUCCUUCCUUUGAGCAGCAGUGGGAUUAUUGCUAAGAGGGGCUAGAUCAUUACUUCAACAAUUUCCCAUAAAUUUAACGAUUAAAGAUAAGUCUACAUCUUGAUUGGCCAUAUGUGAUAAUUUUUCCUAGAAGAUUCAGGAGGACUUGAACCAAGAAUGUUACUUGAAGACAUCUUGUACUCCUUUAACCUUUAUGUUAAAUUUAGAAUAAUAAAAGAGAGAAAAGCACUAACACAAGAAGAUUUACGUGGUUCGACUAUGAGAGCCUACGUCUAUAGACACAAGAAUUGGAUUAUCUCACUAAUACAAAGGGUUCCUAUUUAUAGUGGAAAAUCCAAGAUAUAUAUGGUAUGAUACCAUAAAUGAAGGGAUUCUCCAACUAUAAUAUGAAUAUAUCAAAUCUCAUAAUCAUAGGAAUAUAAAGACAUAAUUAUUCUAUUUAUUUAGGAAUAUAAAUCCUAUAUUAAAUAGAUUCAACUUUCUAUAACAUUACCCCUUAAUUGUAGCUUAGAAUCUCAUCAAUUCUAAUAUUCCCCCUUGAUGAGAUUCUAUAUAAAAGCCAAAAACUUCCUUACAACAGCUUCCAACCAGCAACCCAUGAACACAUUCAGAACUACUCGCACAAAGGCACUCACACAAAGUACCAAAAUAGAAAACAAUCCUUAGAAUUGCACUUCCCUCUCCAAAGGCAAUACCGGCGAGAAAACAUCAACACAAAAUUCCUCUCCAAAUAUAAUACCGACGAGAAAAUAUCAAAAGAGGGACACAUCUGUUAAUUAUGUUAAACCUUAGAGAUUAAAAAGUAAUUUUUCCUAUUAAAAAUAACUAGCCAAAUCAAACUGAAUGGUCAAAAAAAUAACUGAUCAAACCAAAGGAUUGGACUUAGUCUAGUUUUUCAAUUUAAACUGAAAAUUACUCACCCUACCUCCACCUGCUUGGGUUUUUUCUUUGAUUCUCCUUUUCAUCUUUUUUUUUAAAAAAAAAACUGUGACUUUGUUUAGUCUUUAACCUUGGUUAUUUUACUUUUUUUUUCCCCUANNNNNNNNNNNNNNNNNNNNNNNNNNNNNNNNNNNNNNNNNNNNNNNNNNNNNNNNNNNNNNNNNNNNNNNNNNNNNNNNNNNNNNNNNNUGAUUUUGAAUUUUUUGAUAAAUUUUGUUUCUGAAUGUACAUUCCAUUUUCUAGUAGUUAAUUAGUUAUACAUUUUUCCUCUUUUUUUUAAAUAAAAAAUUGACCCUGUUUUAGUCUUAGCUCUUGAUUGCUCUACCCUUUUUUUUUAAAGAAUUUCUAACCCUAUUUGCACUCUCUCUUCCGUUUAGAAAAUUUCCAACCAUGGUUUAAUCUUAAAUUUCUUUAUGUUUUUCUUUAAAUUUCCUGUUUUAAAAUUUUUUAAUUGUGACUUAUGAGUGUAUUUUAAACUUUCAAAGUGGUUAAUCUGUUAUAUGUUCAACUUUUCUUAAUGAUUAAUUUAUCUAUUUAAAAAUUAUGUUAGGGUAAUUGUUAACUUUUUUUUUUAUCAAUUUGUUUAGAGAGCAUUAAUUUCUUUAGUUUUUCUUUUUCAAAGGUUGAGUAAUGAUUUCUUAAGUAUGUUAUGAAAUUAAGUAAUAUUGCAUUUGUUAUAAAAUUCUUCUUUUUUUUUUUUUUUCACCUUCUGUCACCAGGCAUGCUCUCAUGCCUUGUGCAUAUUCUUCAAAAACCCUUAAUGCCUUAGCAUGCCUAGCGCCUUUAAUAACUAUAAUUCUAGGGAAGGGACCAGCAAGUAGCACACCUUAUGGAGUGGAUAGUGAGGCAAGGUGGUACUCAUACACCUGUCAAAUAGAAACCACAAUGGCAUUUCUCAAGAACCAAUUACAAGAAAGGAAGAGGAAGGAACCAAGAGAAAAGAUUUAAACCCGAGGCUUCGAUACCACAAAGAAGAAUAUAUAUAUAUAUAUAUAUAUAUAUAUGCUAAGAAUGGAAGGAUAAUAUUCCACGCCUCAUUUAUAGGCACCAUUAUAGCACAUCAAAUCUCAAUACAGACACAUAUAUUCUAAUGGAAGCAAACGCUCUGUCUUUAGGAGAUAUUAAAACCCUGAAAACCUCAUGGAGAAAAAAAAGAGAGAUUACUACCCAAUCAAUCUGCUGCAAAUAAUACUUUCUGCAGAUGUGAUUAAUUGCAACAUAAUCACUCUUUCAAGAAGUUUUCAGCAAAAAUAAACUAGAUGCAUAUUAGAAUCUGAUGCAGCUACUCCUUUAUUGACUUGUUUUCCAGGCAAUUAUCUCCUAUGCUUUGCAUCUAAGUCAAAAGCACAGUUGGCAGUCAUGCCUUUAUUCCAAAGAGGAUGUCGUGAAUUCAAAUCCUUUAAUGUUCCUAUAGAUGGGGACAUAAAAAGUUUGAUAGAUCUCUCAUUUUCUAGUAGAUUCCGCUGCUUACUUCCUAGUCUUCCGUUGUCGUGCUGAGUUUAAAUGAUAUCAGUUGUGCUUUUGUUUCUUAUUACCAUUUCAUUUUAACCAAAAACGUAUUCUAAAGUGGGGCGCAGCCUAAGGUUAUUACUGCAGUAUCCAAACUAGUAAAAGUAAAUGCCAUGAAAAGAAUGCCAAAAGCACGCCAAUGGGAGGAAAUAAAUACCCGACUUUUGCCAUUUUCUCUACAAGAAAUCCCAUUAAAAAGAUGAAAAACUCAUUUCAUCCAAUCCUGCACCUUUCGCUUAUUUCUACCUGUUAUAAGUUAUAGAAAGUAAAUAUGUUAAUAUAGGAAGUAAAUAUUGAUAGAUGAGUCAGUUGCUUAAUCUUAGGGAUUGUAUAAUCAUAGACUUGAUUCUCCUUCCUGUUUAGAUACCGUCUCUCAUGUAUAAAUAGGUUGUAAUCUCUAUUGUGAAAGAUAACAAAUAUUAUCCUUCUACAUGGUAUCAGAGCCAUUCUCGUAGAGAUUUAAUUUUUUUCUCUCUAGUCAAGUUUAAAUAAAUAAAAAAAAAAUUUGGAGACUUAGGGCUCUGUUCAUUUGAAUUACCCAUAAAGGGUAACAUUUGGAUCUCACCAUCGUUGGAGUCGCCACAUCAUUCCCUUGUCAGAUCUGAGGUUUGUUUGCCAUUCGGGUUUUGUUCACGGGUACUGUUCAUUGGUACUGUUCACGGGUACUGUCAUCGAGUACUGUUCACGGGUACUGUCUGUUCACGGGUACUGUCAUCGAGUACUGUUCACGUGGUACUGUUCACAUCGGGUACUGUUUUCUGAUUCUGUGUUUCUUUUGUUGCUAUCGUUUUGGGUUUGUUGUCCUUAUGGCUGAAGUUAAAACCACCACCGUAACUGAUGUGAUUCCUAUGAUGACUAAAAUCACGGAACACAAAUUAAAUGGAUCUUCCGAUCAGGAAAUUUUGAUAUCUGCAGAUGAGUAUGCACAAUUCAUCCAAUACCAGGCAUCUCUAAAACCCUCUAAUUCCUCCUCUAUCACUGCAAUUGCCGAGUCAGGUAACUCUACUGCAUGUCUUGUGUCUUCAUCCUCCAAAUGGGUUAUUGAUUCUGGUGCUACCGAUCAUAUGUCAAGUAAUUCUACCAUUUUAUCCAAUCUUGAGUCUCAUACAUCGCCUUCUUAUGUUACUCUUGCUGAUGGCACUAAAUCUUCUGUCAUGGGUUCUGGUCAUGUCAACUUAACUCCUCUUUCUGUAUCCUCUGUGUUAUGUCUCCCUAAGUUCGCAUUUAAUUUGCUUUCCGUUAGUAAACUCACUCGUGCAUUGAAUUGUUGUGUCUCAUUCUUUCCUGAUCACUGUGUUUUUCAGGAUCUUUCGACGAAACAGAUUAUUGGUAGAGGGAGUGAGUCAGAGGGUCUUUACGUCUUGAAUCAGCAACUACCUCGAUCUCUGGUAUGCUCCACGCGUUUAACACCUUUUGAUGUUCAUUGUCAUUUAGGGCAUUCUUCUCUCUCGGCUUUGAAGAAGUUAUAUCCACAGUUUCAUUCUUUGUCUAUUCUAGAUUGUGAGUCUUGUCAAUUUGUCAAACAUUAUCGUUUGCCUACACUGUCUCGAGUCAAUAAACGGGCUUCGUCCCCCUUUGAGUUAGUCCAUUCAGAUGUUUGGGGUCCUUGUCCUGUUGUGUCUAAGUCUGGCUUUAAGUAUUUUGUUACUUUUGUUGAUGAUUUCUCUCGUACUACUUGGUUAUUUUUAAUGAAUAGUCGUUCAGAAUUAUUUUCUAUUUUUUGUGCAUUUUAUGCUGAAAUCCAAACCCAAUUCAAUACUUCUAUCCGUAUAUUGCAAAGUGAUAAUGCUAAAGAGUAUCUCUCUGGGGAAUUUCAAUCUUAUUUGUUACAAAAAGGGAUUCUUCAUCAGUCAUCUUGUGUUGCCACUCCUUCACAAAAUGGAGUUGCUGAAAGAAAAAAUUGACAUCUUCUUGAAGUAGCCAGAGCCCUCUUAUUCCAAAUGAAGGUACCUAAAUAUUUUUGGGCUGAUGCUGUAUUCACUGCUUGUUUUUUGAUCAAUCGCAUGCCUUCCUCCAUCCUUCAUGGUGAUAUCCCUUAUAACAUUUUGUUUCCCAUUAAAUCUUUGUUUCCUAUUAAGCCACGUAUCUUUGGUUGUACUUGUUUUGUUCGUAAUGUUCGUCCACAGGUUACUAAAUUGGAUUCCAAAUCACUCAAAUGUGUCUUCCUUGGCUACUCUCGACGUCAGAAAGGGUAUCGUUGUUUUCUCCUUAUCUGAAUCGGUAUCUUGUGUCUGCGAAUGUAACAUUCUUUGAGUCCACUCCGUUUUUUCUGCCAUCAUCUGUUUAUAACACCCAGGAGGAGGAAGAUGAUCUUUUGUUAUACACUGUUCGCUCUCUGUCUCCUCAAACUACUCCUACACCUUUCGCUCAUGUGCCAGGUCGCCCUCCCAUCUUUCAUGUGUAUUCCAGACGCUUAGAGGACUCUGACUCCGUUCCGCUACCCGCUUCUUCGUCGACCGAUCCUGCUCCCACUGAUCCUUCACUGUUUGAUUUGAAUUUGCCCAUUACUCUUCGCAAAGGUAAACGUACUUGCACUUAUCCUAUUUCAUCUUGUGUCUCUUAUGAUCAAUUAUCCUUCUCUUCUCGUUGUUUUGCCACUGCUUUAGAUUCUAUUUCAAUUCCCAAAACCGUUAUUGAGGCUUUGUCCCAUCCUGGUUGGCAUGCUGCAAUGGAAGGCCCUUAACACUAAUGGUACUUGGGAGUUGAUGUCCUUGCCCCUAGGAAAGCGGGCUAUUGGGUGCAAAUGGGUGUUUGCAGUGAAAGUAAACCCUGAUGGAUCUAUUGCUCGCCUCAAAGCCCGUUUAGUGGCCAAAGGUUAUGCACAAACUUAUGGAGUUGACUAUUCUAAUACAUUCUCCCCAAUUGCCAAGCUCGCAUCUGUCCGAUUGUUUAUUUCCUUGGUGGCUACUCAUGAUUGGCCUUUGCAUCAACUGGAUAUUAAAAAUGCUUUUCUUCAUGGUGAUCUUCAGGAAGAGGUUUAUAUUGAGCAACCACCUGGUUUUGUUGCUCAUGGGGAGUCAGGUAAGGUUUGUAGACUUCGAAAAUCCCUUUAUGGCAUAAAACAGAGUCCUCGGGUAUGGUUUGGCAGGUUUAGUGAGGUGGUCCAACAGUUUGGAAUGAAGAUGAGUAAGUGUGAUCACUCAGUGUUUUAUAGAAAUUCUGAUAGUGGAGUAAUUCUGCUUGUAGUAUAUGUGGAUGAUAUCGUUAUUACAGGAAGUGACAUUGCUGGCAUCACAUCCCUAAAAGAAUUUCUUAAAACACAGUUUCAUACAAAGGAUUUGGGUUCCUUGAAAUAUUUCUUGGGAAUCGAAGUUAUGUGGUGUAAGAAAGACAUCUUCUUAUCUCAAAGAAAAUAUGUUCUUGAUUUGUUGGCAGAAACAGGAAAAUUGGGUGCUAAGCCUUGUAGUGCCCCAAUGACCCUAACCUUCAACUUACCACGGAAGACAGUGAGCCAUUUGUAGAUCCUGGAAGGUAUAGAAGAUUAGUUGGCAAGCUGAAUUAUUUGACGGUGACUCGUUCUGAUAUUGCAUAUUCAGUGAGUGUGGUAAGUCAGUUUAUGUUCUUUCCUACUGUUGCCCAGUGGGAUGCUCUGGGACAGAUUUUUUGUUACCUUAAAGGGGCCCUAGGGCGAGGCCUAUUCUAUGGUAACCAUAGGCACUCAAAUAUUGAAUGUUUUUCUGAUGCUGAUUAGGUUGGCUCGAAAGUUGAUAGGAGGUCAACUACUGGGUAUUGUGUUUUUGUGGGAGGUAACUUGGUCUUAUGGAAAAGUAAGAAGCAAAAUGUGGUCUCCCGUUUUAGUACUGAAUUUGAAUAUCGAGCCAUGGCACAAGCCGUUUGUGAAAUCUUGUGGGUACGUCAACUGUUGGAAGAAGUUGGGUUCACAAAUUCGAUGCCUGCUAAGUUGUGGUGUGAUAAUCAAGCAGCUAUCCACAUUGCCUCCAAUCCAGUAUUUCACGAGAGAACUAAACACAUCGAGAUUGAUUGUCAUUUUGUUCGUGAAAAGGUCCAACAAAAGAUAAUAUCAACAGGACAUAUCCGAACUGGAGAACAAUUAGGAGAUAUUUUCACUAAAGCUCUAAAUGGGACUCGAGUUGAUUAUAUAUGUAACAAGUUGAGCAUGAUUAACAUUUAUGAUCCAACUUGAGGGGGAGUGUUAUAAGUUAUAGAAAGUAAAUAUGUUAAUAUAGGAAGUAAAUAUUGAUAGAUGGGUCAGUUGCUUAAUCUUAGGGAUUGUAUAAUCAUAGGCUUGAUUUUCCUUCCUGUUUAGAUACCAUCUCUCGUGUAUAGAUAGGUUGUAAUCUCUAUUGUGAAAGAUAACAAAUAUUAUCCUUCUACACUACCAAAUGACAUGUUUGAUAGAAUAUGAAUGUAAGACAUUAGAAUCAUCCUUCAGUGCUGUCAUACUUGAAAAGGGAUUCUAUUUGACUAUAUUUCAGCCAAUAAAAUGCUAGAAUACAAUUAAACCAAAUGGUAAUUAACAAGUACAGACCACAGCAACUUGUAUAGUGUGUAACAAUCGAAAAAUUAAACAAGGUCUCUGAAAAAACAGCACUUUUCUCUAAUCUUGUUUUGUCUAUCCAGUUGGUUCUCACGCCUCAUUCAUGAUUAAGCACAAGCAUAUAUCAUUCCCUUAGAGGUUGUUACUUAUUGAAAUUGAAGUCCUUUUCAUGCUUUGAAACUAGGGAAGAUGACAGAUAAUGCAAUUGAAUACCUACGUGCAAAUAAAAAAAUAUGAACACUAUGCUUUCAACAUUCACAAACAAGAGUUCAAUUCAUACCUCCUACCUAAUUCCCUUGCGUAGUUGAAUAAAACAUAACCUACUUCAGAGAUUUCAUACCAAACAAUGAGGGAUUCUUCACGGUUCAAUUUCUGACCAAUUUUGUAAGCCUAAUUAAAUGCAAAUCACAAUCCUACCAAAUUACCAAUGUGUAAUCUAUCAUCUUGGAGACUUGGACAAUGUAACUUGACAUAAAUAUUUGAGCCACGGUUGAGAAAGUGUAAUCCGAUACAGAGCCUUAGUCAAACUAAAGAAGCUGUAGGAAAAAUAAAAAUAAAUAGAAAAAAAUUGAAUCAUUAAGACUAUUAGCGUAAAUGGAAACAAAUUUCUCCAGCUAAAGUCACACAAACCAGGAAAAAUAAAUUGAACUGAAAAUUGUAGAGAGAAAGCGAGAGGUUUUUCAAAUUGAGGAGUUUAGUCUUGAGAGUGAUUACUUGCCUGGAAAAACGUAUAGAUCGCGGAUGCUGAACUCAAGUUUGUCAAUUUGGUUGCCGAGAAAACUUCAGAAAAAAAGUAGAAAGAUGAGAAAAUAAAAACAUCAUUCUAGUGGAAGAAGUCCAUUUCAAACAGUCCGUUGAGCCAAAACUUUCCCACCAUUUCUCAUCAACCAAACACUCCUGCAGCUAUUAGAAUUUUACAGACACAGAACUUUCAAUUGCAUCGCGCUUUCCGCAUUGAUUCGAAAUCGGUAGUGUAGUCGAGAGAGAUUCUAGAAAUCCCCCGGUAAACUAUCAUUAAACGACAGCGGAUUUAAUGCUUGGUAGUUG
rnacentral:lncRNA from 1 species